rnacentral:rRNA from 1 species
UACGUAGGGUGCAAGCGUUAUCCGGAAUUAUUGGGCGAAAGAGCUCGUAGGCGGUUUGUCGCGUCUGCUGUGAAAACUGGAGGCUCAACCUCCAGCCUGCAGUGGGUACGGGCAGACUAGAGUGCGGUAGGGGAGAUUGGAAUUCCUGGUGUAGCGGUGGAAUGCGCAGAUAUCAGGAGGAACACCGAUGGCGAAGGCAGA